rnacentral:tRNA from 1 species
AAGGAUGUAGCUCAGUGAUAGAGCACCUGGCUGGCAAGCAUGAGGAUCUGGAUUCAAUCCCAGCACCAUCA